AUACUUAUUUUGCAUAGGAGAUACCAUGGUCAUGAAGAUUAUUCUCCCAGGGUGAGGUUCAUUCAUUGCAUUCUGGGUAUGCUGACCCCUGUGAUUUCCCCAAAUGUGGGAAACUCGACUGCAUAAUUUGUGUUUCCCCUGGUCGGCUCUCGUAUAAUUCAGAU